AUGAAUCCGACCUCGGCACCUAGCCCGGAUGGCCUUCCAGUCAAGUUCUUCCAAAGCUUCUGGAAUGUGAUCAAGCCAGAGAUCAUGGCCAUCUUCGACGAGUUCUAUGUCGGGUCCAUCAACCUCGGACGCCUUAAUUAUGGGACGAUCUCGCUCAUUCCCAAGGUCCCUGGCGCUUCGGACAUCCGGCAGUUCCGCCCCAUCACGGUGAUCAACGUGAUUUUCCGGAUUCUGGCUAAAGGGUUCGCCAAUAGGGUGACCCUGCUAGCGGACCAGAUCACCCACCCCAACCAAUCGGCUUUCAUCCAAGGCCGCUAUAUUCUGGAUGGGGUGCUGGUUCUUCACGAGGUUCUCCAUGAGGUGCGAUCCAAACGCCUUAAGGCGGUCUUCCUGAAUUGA
rnacentral:rRNA from 1 species